rnacentral:rRNA from 1 species
GUGUCAGCCGCCGCGGUAACACCAGCCCCUCGAGUGGUGGGGACUAUUAUUUGGCCUAAAGCGUCCGUAGCUGGCUGUAUCCGUCCCCCGUUAAAUCCAGCGUCCUAAGCGUUGGACCGCGGGUGAUACCAUACAGCUAGAGGGUGGGAUAGGUGAGCGGUAUUUCUGGGGUAGGGGCGAAAUCCUUUGAUCCCAGGAGGACCACCAGUGGCGAAGGCUGCUCACUAGAACACGCCUGACGGUCAGGGACGAAAGCUGGGGCAGCGAACCGGAUUAGAUACCCUCGUAGUCC